UCGGUAGCAGCCUGGGUAUAAAUCCUUUGGAACAGGGUAUCAUAGAGGGUGAGAAUCCCGUCUUUGACCUGGUGCAUGCUACUAUGUGAUACGUUUUCAAAGAGUCGAGUUGUUUGGGAAUGCAGCUCAAAAUGGGUGGUAAAUUUCAUCUAAGGCUAAAUAUUGGCGAGAGACCGAUAGCGAACAAGUACCGUGAGGGAAAGAUGAAAAGAACUUUGAAAAGAGAGUUAAACAGUGCGUGAAAUUGUUGAAAGGGAAACGUUUGACACCAGUCAUGCGAAUGAAAAAUCAGUUAAUGCUAGUGGAGAGUGGUACGGGUUCAGACCGCAAGGCUGGCCUUUGCUUCAUCUCUGCUGUCAUUGAUGCACUUUUUCAUUUGCAGGUCAACAUCAGUUUUCCCUGCUGGACAAAACUCCAAGAGAAGGUAGCAGCUUAGGCUGUGUUAUAGCUCUGGAGCGAUACAGUGGGGGGGACUGAGGAUUUCGCAGUGUGUGCUCUCGGGCAAGGCUGACUGGGUGCUAUCGGAUCGUUCGGUGUACAAUGCAUGCAUUUUGCGCCGUGUCUUUCUUAUACUCGCUCAGCUCAGCUCUUCCACACUUAGGAUGUUGACUUAAUGGUUUUAAACGACCCGUCUUGAAACACGGACCAAGGAGUCUAACAUAUAUGCAAGUGUUUGGGUGGCAAACCCAUACGCGUAAUGAAAGUGAACGUAGGUGCGAUCCGCAGGUGCAGCAUCGACCGAUCUUGAUAUUUUUGGAUAGAUUUGAGUAAGAGCAUAUAUGCUGGGACCCGAAAGAUGGUGAACUAUGCCUGAAUA
rnacentral:rRNA from 1 species